AAAAGUCAAUAAAAUGCUCCGCAGGGCGCAGCUUGAUACGACCGCAGAGUUCGAACCCUGAACAGUUGGGGGAAGUAUGGACACAACAUUCAAGCUUGAUACAGCUUUGGAUUUGGAUUGUGAUUAAAUAUUUGACACAGCAUAGGUUUCUGACACAGAAUGAAUGUGGUCUAAGAACUUAAAAA